CAAGUCGAGCGGACCGACGGGAGCUUGCUCCCUUAGGUCAGCGGCGGACGGGUGAGUAACACGUGGGUAACCUGCCUGUAAGACUGGGAUAACUCCGGGAAACCGGGGCUAAUACCGGAUGCUUGAUUGAACCGCAUGGUUCAAUCAUAAAAGGUGGCUUUUAGCUACCACUUACAGAUGGACCCGCGGCGCAUUAGCUAGUUGGUGAGGUAACGGCUCACCAAGGCGACGAUGCGUAGCCGACCUGAGAGGGUGAUCGGCCACACUGGGACUGAGACACGGCCCAGACUCCUACGGGAGGCAGCAGUAGGGAAUCUUCCGCAAUGGACGAAAGUCUGACGGAGCAACGCCGCGUGAGUGAUGAAGGUUUUCGGAUCGUAAAACUCUGUUGUUAGGGAAGAACAAGUACCGUUCGAAUAGGGCGGCACCUUGACGGUACCUAACCAGAAAGCCACGGCUAACUACGUGCCAGCAGCCGCGGUAAUACGUAGGUGGCAAGCGUUGUCCGGAAUUAUUGGGCGUAAAGCGCGCGCAGGCGGUUUCUUAAGUCUGAUGUGAAAGCCCCCGGCUCAACCGGGGAGGGUCAUUGGAAACUGGGGAACUUGAGUGCAGAAGAGGAGAGUGGAAUUCCACGUGUAGCGGUGAAAUGCGUAGAGAUGUGGAGGAAC
rnacentral:rRNA from 1 species